GCGUAGGCCUGGGCCCGGGUGGAACGCUGCCUGCCUUCAGUGUAGGGACUGCACGCAGGCACUGCAACCCAGCGGACCGGGCCUGCCCAACUGAGGAGGGUAACUUAUAUAUGUAUUGAAUUGUAUUUGCCAUUUUUAUACUGGACAUGAAUCGACAUUUUAAACUGUUUCCAAACACUUAUUAAAUAAAGCUGUGUUAUGUUUUUGGAA